GGCAAACGGGUGCGGAACACGUACGCAACCUUCCUUUACAGCGGGGCAUAGCCCAGGCAAACUUGGAUUAAUACCCCAUAAGACAGUGGAGUGGCAUCACUCAGCUGUUAAAGCUCCGGCACUUAAAGAUGGGCGUGCGGCUGAUUAGGUAGUUGGCGGGGUAACGGCCCACCAAGCCGACGAUCAGUAACUGGUGUGAGAGCACGACCAGUCACACGGGCACUGAUACACGGGCCCGACUCCUACGGGAGGCAGCAGUAAGGAAUAUUGGUCAAUGGACGCAAGUCUGAACCAGCCAUGCCGCGUGGAGGAUGAAUGCCCUCUGGGUUGUAAACUCCUUUUAUUUGGGACGAAACCGGACCUUUCUAGGGCCGUUGACGGUACCAAGUGAAUAAGCACCGGCUAACUCCGU
rnacentral:rRNA from 1 species